GCGCCAUUGGUGGAAAUGGUAGACACGCGGUAUUGCCUAAACACUCCAGCGGUGUGUUUAGGAAUACCGUGGGGAAACUCUUGCAGGUUCAAGUCCUGCAUGGCGCACCA
rnacentral:tRNA from 1 species